CACACAUACAAUCUGCACAAAUCCUAGGUGGAAUUUUUUGAAUUAAUUUGCUUCUUUUGGCCAUGAAUUCGAAUUUGCUUUCCCUCUAAUUCAUCACUUCGCUUAUUGGGCCAUAAGCAACAGUCCAGUCCAACAAGCCCAUAUAAGCCCGGUCCGGAUUGAACAAAAUAAUUAAAAAAACGCAUGCGUUGGAAGACAUAUCAUGUACACCAGUGAGAAGUCGUUUUCGCAAAGCCAUUCCGCAGAACUCAUCUUCUUCUUUUGGAUAGGGAUUUUGAAACCAUUUUGAAAUCCAAAAAGUUUCAGCAUCUUAUCGAUGCAACAUCUGCUUCUCCCUCUGUCAUCGCGAGAGAAAUACCAUUUUUAUCCCUUCACUCUCUUCAAAUCCUCUCUAAUUUGAGUUUGGUCAAUACAUUAAGAUUUGAUUUCCCUCCAAAGGGAUAAGAUUGUAUCAAGAGGUAAAAAGUAAUUUCGAAAUUCACUUUCAGAUUCUCCCGCCUUGAUUUUCAAUCGAUUUAUUCAUUUUAUUAUUGAAAUAGGGUUAGAUGGUGAGUCUAUUUAAGCAGUUAUUGAGUUUAGAGUCUCAGCCACACCAAACAAAUUCAAAACCUUCUUUCCUCGUCUGUUGUUUUUAUUACUUUUUUCAAUCACUAUUUAAUUUUUGAAAUAAAAAAAAAAUUGUUUUUAGUUGAAAAUGGCUUUUAUUUAAUUACAUAUUUAUUAGGAUUUGUUUCUAUGUUUUAGUUAAUAAUCCCUACCUUUUAGGAGUUGUUAGUGGGAUUUAGAUGGUUUUCUCCACCACAGUAUGAUUGAUUUGUUUUUGUUAAAUUUUAGAUUUUGUUUUUUUAGAUUUGUAUCAAUUUUUUUUUAUGAUAAUAAUCUUAUUUGCAAAAACACCAGUAUGAUAAUAACAAGCUCGAAAUUUCCUUCCAAUUCCAUUUGUAAAAACACCAAAACCUAUGGUAGGAGGAAGAAGAUGACCGAGAUUCAAGGAUUUGGAGGAAAUAAAGCUACUUAUGGAAGAACUGAAGAAGAUUUUGGUUAUUCUCAUAAAAGUAACAUUGUGAUAUAAAAUAUUUUGGUUUUUGUUUGUUCAUUUAGAUUGACAUAAAUAGAUCUUCUGUGUAUGUUUUUAGGUGUUUUUCGAAAAAAAGAACCUAUGAGUGGCCAUGAAGUUGUUCUCAAGAUGAUUCAUAUGUUGACAUCUAUAUCAGUACAAUUGAACUGGACUUUGUAAGCAUUCACAUCCACCACUUAACCUUUGUAAUGCUUGAUUUUGGGUUUGAACUAAAAGGCAACAAGAAUGUAUUGGUGGAGUUUCACAGUGGCUUUAUGAACAAUAGAGAAAGAAAUGGUGACGGGUUCUACUAACCGAACUUAAUUCAAGGUUUUUCAUUUUACUUGAGAAGAGACUUUUGGUUGUGGAAAAAGGCCUUGCUACACCGCUGCUACAAAUAUCAGCUACAACUGCAGAAGUGAGAGAUGAUGGAGUUUGAAUGGUCACAUUUAGGUAAGUUGAACUUUUUUUGGCUUUGUCAGUUUAUGUUAACCUCAAACAGUCACAAAGAUGAACAUUUGAAUUCACGUGGUUCAAGAAAACUCAUUGAUUGAAAUGCUAUAUUGUUUUUGAUAUGUUGAAUUAGAAUUUUUAUAAUCUGGUUUUCUUGCUUUUUAUAAUAUAUUUGUUCUGUUAUGCUCCUUUCACUUGAAAAAAUGUCUUA